GUGCACCAGGCGCGAAUACUUUACAAUGCGGGAAACCGUGAUAAGGGAACCUCGAGUGCUGGCGCAUAGCGUCGGCUGUCCAGAUGCCUAAAAGCAUCUGAUAGUAAGGGCUGGGUAAGACCGGUGCCAGCCGCCGCGGGUAACACCGGCAGCCCAGGUGGUAGCCACUUUUAUUGGGUCUAAAGCGUCCGUAGCCGGUUGAGUAAGUUCCUUGGGGAAAUUUGGCUGGCUCAACAGUCAAGCUUCCAGGGAAUACUGCUCGACUUGGGGACUGGGAGAGGUCAGAGGUACUCCGAGGGGUAGGGGUGAAAUCCAUUAAUCCCUGGGGGACCACCGGUAGCGAAGGCGUC
rnacentral:rRNA from 1 species